rnacentral:tRNA from 12 species
ACCGCCAUUAGCUCAUCAGGAAAGAGCGCCAGCUUUCGAAGCUGGUUGCGCGGAGUUCGGGUCCCCGAAGGCGGUCCAU